UUUGCUUAUAAUUUACAUUGAUUCCGAAUGAGAUGUUUUGUAGAUUUGUAAAUUUUAUUGCGUUACAACUCAAGGACAUCUAGAAGUAUAAAUAUUGUAAAAAUCAUAAGGGAAUAUCAGUUACGUUGCGAAUACCGAGGGUUGAAGUACAGAGGUUCGGGCUUAGAGCGAUGUUUGGAAAAUUGAUAAUUUUGUUCGCUGUCCUGGCCCUCGCGGCCGCUAUGCCCCAACUGUACUCUGGGUACGGAUACAACGGCUACUCCUCAGGGUAUCCCAACUACUAUGGCUACUCCGGAUAUUCGAAUCCCCUGUCAUACGGUGGUUACAGCGGCUAUGGCGGAUACGCUGCUUCUCCAUACAGUUACGGCUCUUAUGGAUACUACUAAGCCUGUAUCAUAACUAAUAUAAUACUUAUAUUCAAGUGGGCCAUUAAUCACAAUGUAAUCUAUCAAUCAAACAAAAAAAUAAUAGGUUAAAGAGUUAGCAACAUAUUUGCGAGUGCCUCUGAUCAUAGACAAAAAAUGCAAACAGGUUUUAAUAUAAUCUGUGGUUUUUGUCAUUAAUUGUGUCAUAAUGUUUUUUGUUAAUACAAUAAUGUUUUCAAUAUA